CAGCAGGGAGCCCAAUGCGGGACUCGGUCCCAGGACCCUGGGAUCAUGACCUGUGCUGAAGGUGACUGAGCCACCCAGGCGUCUCCAAUAUUGUCCUUCUUAUUGCUGAUAGUGUUCUAUUAUCCGACCUGCAUCAGUUGAUCCAUUCAUUUGCUGAUGGACAUUGGCGUUGUUUCCAGUCUGGGGCUAUGACACAGAAAGCUUCUAGGAACAUCUGUGUGCUGGUCACCGCGCGGACCAGUGAAGCAGGUGGCGUCUCAGGGUGCUAUACUUGCUUUCUUAGCUCAGCAGCCGCCAAGGCCUUCAUCCAUCCUUAUUCUUCACCUUAACCCAACAUGGGAUGAUAUGGGACAUCAGCUUGCUUGGGUGGGUUCGGCCCCCGCUGCAUCUCUCUCGUGGUGUGACUCAGGCAACUCUUGGUGUCCUUUGUUAAUAAGGGGAUGACAGCUGUUCCUUCCUCCUAGAGUCGUUGUGAGCACUACAUGAAGCAUUUAAACAACCCCCGGCACCAUGUUCAGAAAUGCUAGCUCUCAUCACCCAGCUUGGGCCCUGACUGCAUCUAUCCACUCCACGAUCCGCUUCCUCCAGGCGUUCUGAGCUGGAGCUCACACAGGGGCGUCCUGAUACCCAACUUGAGAACAGUUUCCCAGGCAAGCGAUGGGCAGCAGCACUGGAAGUCCCUUGGAUUUUUUUCUAAUUACUUCUCAGAGUGGAUCCUGACCCCCGACGGACAGCUGGGCACAGCUGCCAGAAGACCCCGCCCGAGCCCCCAGGCGGUUUAAUACAGAACCAUGCUCUUUUGGGACGCAGUGAUCUGGAAACGUGGCAAAAGCUUAGUCAAAUCAUAGGGAAUCAAGUGAUCUGGACUACUGGAUGGAGCAGUUAUCUGUGCGGGUGCCUGGAGUUGAGUGCCUCCUUUGUUCCCGUAUCUCCCAGAGCAUUUCAGGCCUUCAACACUGACCCUCUGCCCCCACAGUCAAGACAGACUGCAAGCUAGGCUCAGAAGGGUCAUCUUGUGGGUCAUAAAGGUCAGUGGAACCGCCUGGUGGAGCAGAGGGAGGGGCCCAUCUGGUCGAGGAGCCCAGCCAGGAAUCAACCAAAAAAUGAACUUUAAAGUGCUGUAGGGUGGGGGGUACCUGGUUGGCUCAGUCAGUUAAGUGGCUGCCUUUGGCUUGGGUCAUG